UACGUAGGCAGCGAGCGUUGUUCGGAGUUACUGGGCGUAAAGGGUGUGUAGGCGGUUGUUUUAAGUUUGGUGUGAAAUCUCCCGGCUCAACUGGGAGGGUGCGCCGAAUACUGAAUGACUAGAGUGUGGGAGAGGUGAGUGGAAUUCCUGGUGUAGCGGUGAAAAUGCGUAGAUAUCAGGAGGAACACCGGUGGUGUAGACGGCUCACUGGACCAUAACUGACGCUGAGACACGAAAAGCGUGGGUAGCAAACAGG
rnacentral:rRNA from 1 species